rnacentral:rRNA from 1 species
UACAGAGGUGUCAAGCGUUGCUCGGUGUCACUGGGCUUAAAGGGCGCGUAGGCUGCGCAGUACGGCUCGGGUGAAAUCCCUCGGCCCAACCGAGGAACUGCCCGGGCGACGGCUGUGCUGGACUGCAUCAGGGGCGGAUGGAACUCCCGGUGGAGCGGUGAAAUGCGUAGAUAUCGGGAGGAACGCCGGUGGCGAAAGCGAUCCGCUGGGGUGCAAGUGACGCUGAGGCGCGAAAGCCAGGGGAGCAAACGGG